rnacentral:rRNA from 1 species
AACGUAGGACGCGAGCGUUAUCCGGAUUUAUUGGGCGUAAAGAGCGUGUAGGCGGCCGUACAGGUCAGCUGUGAAAACUCGAGGCUCAACCUCGAGACGUCGGUUGAAACCGUACGGCUAGAGUCCGGAAGAGGAGAGUGGAAUUCCCGGUGUAGCGGUGAAAUGCGCAGAUAUCGGGAAGAACACCCGUGGCGAAGGCGGCUCUCUGGGACGGUACUGACGCUGAGACGCGAAAGCGUGGGGAGCGAACAGG